rnacentral:rRNA from 1 species
GAUGAACGCUGGCGGCGUGCUUAACACAUGCAAGUCGAACGGUGAAGGCGGAGCUUGCUCUGCUGGAUCAGUGGCGAACGGGUGAGUAACACGUGAGCAAUCUGCCCCUGACUAUGGGAUAAGAGAUGGAAACGGCGUCUAAUACUGGAUACGAGCUGCGAAGGCAUCUUCAGCAGCUGGAAAGAACUUCGGUCAGGGAUGAGCUCGCGGCCUAUCAGCUUGUUGGUGAGGUAACGGCUCACCAAGGCGUCGACGGGUAGCCGGCCUGAGAGGGUGACCGGCCACACUGGGACUGAGACACUGCCCAGACUCCUACGGGAGGCAGCAGUGGGGAAUAUUGCACAAUGGCGAAAGCCUGAUGCAGCAACGCCGCGUGAGGGACGACGGCCUUCGGGUUGUAAACCUCUUUUAGCAGGGAAGAAGCGAAAGUGACGGUACCUGCAGAAAAAGCGCCGGCUAACUACGUG